rnacentral:rRNA from 1 species
AAUCCAUAGGUUAAUGAGGCGAACCGGGGGAACUGAAACAUCUAAGUACCCCGAGGAAAAGAAAUCAACCGAGAUUCCCCCAGUAGCGGCGAGCGAACGGGGAGGAGCCCAGAGCCUGAAUCAGCAUGUGUGUUAGUGGAAGCGUCUGGAAAGGCGCGCGAUACAGGGUGACAGCCCCGUACACAAAAGCGCAUGUGCUGUGAGCUCGAUGAGUAGGGCGGGACACGUGGUAUCCUGUCUGAAUAUGGGGGGACCAUCCUCCAAGGCUAAAUACUCCUGACUGACCGAUAGUGAACCAGUACCGUGAGGGAAAGGCGAAAAGAACCCCGGCGAGGGGAGUGAAAAAGAACCUGAAACCGUGUACGUACAAGCAGUGGGAGCACAGGUUUACCUGUGUGACUGCGUACCUUUUGUAUAAUGGGUCAGCGACUUAUAUUCUGUAGCAAGGUUAACCGAAUAGGGGAGCCGUAGGGAAACCGAGUCUUAACCGGGCGUUAAGUUGCAGGGUAUAGACCCGAAACCCGGUGAUCUAGCCAUGGGCAGGUUGAAGGUUGGGUAACACUAACUGGAGGACCGAACCGACUAAUGUUGAAAAAUUAGCGGAUGACCUGUGGCUGGGGGUGAAAGGCCAAUCAAACCGGGAGAUAGCUGGUUCUCCCCGAAAGCUAUUUAGGUAGCGCCUCGUGAAUUCAUCUCCGGGGGUAGAGCACUGUUUCGGCUAGGGGGCCAUCCCGGCUUACCAACCCGAUGCAAACUGCGAAUACCGGAGAAUGUUAUCACGGGAGACACACGGCGGGUGCUAACGUCCGUCGUGAAGAGGGAAACAACCCAGACCGCCAGCUAAGGUCCCAAAGUCAUGGUUAAGUGGGAAACGAUGUGGGAAGGCCCAGACAGCCAGGAUGUUGGCUUAGAAGCAGCCAUCAUUUAAAGAAAGCGUAAUAGCUCACUGGUCGAGUCGGCCUGCGCGGAAGAUGUAACGGGGCUAAACCAUGCACCGAAGCUGCGGCAGCGAACGUAUCACUUAAAGCGAUUCAGCGGGUUACGAUUGACGGAGCGAAGCGACGUCAAAGCGUAUACAAAGUCGAGUCGGUUUAAGGAUACGUUCGUUGGGUAGGGGAGCGUUCUGUAAGCCUGUGAAGGUGGCCUGUGAGGGUUGCUGGAGGUAUCAGAAGUGCGAAUGCUGACAUAAGUAACGAUAAAGCGGGUGAAAAGCCCGCUCGCCGGAAGACCAAGGGUUCCUGUCCAACGUUAAUCGGGGCAGGGUGAGUCGACCCCUAAGGCGAGGCCGAAAGGCGUAGUCGAUGGGAAACAGGUUAAUAUUCCUGUACUUGGUGUUACUGCGAAGGGGGGACGGAGAAGGCUAUGUUGGCCGGGCGACGGUUGUCCCGGUUUAAGCGUGUAGGCUGGUUUUCCAGGCAAAUCCGGAAAAUCAAGGCUGAGGCGUGAUGACGAGGCACUACGGUGCUGAAGCAACAAAUGCCCUGCUUCCAGGAAAAGCCUCUAAGCAUCAGGUAACAUCAAAUCGUACCCCAAACCGACACAGGUGGUCAGGUAGAGAAUACCAAGGCGCUUGAGAGAACUCGGGUGAAGGAACUAGGCAAAAUGGUGCCGUAACUUCGGGAGAAGGCACGCUGACACGUAGGUGAAGUGAUUUACUCA